rnacentral:rRNA from 1 species
AGACCCCGACGGCCACCGAACCGAGUCAGCAACCCUAGAUCGAUCCUGCCGCCGGCUGAAUCGCCGCCUCAAUCGAUUGCAGUCGCAGCAGACGUGAUGCCGCCCAAGGUGCAGUCGCCGGGUCCUGACCGCAGGGGGCUCUUUUCCUGCCUGUACAGCGGCAAUUGCGACGAACCCCCUAGCUUCUGUUUCAAACGCGAUCUCCUCGCGUCCAUCCCCGACUUAUACGAGGAGGCUUACGACCGGCUGCCCGUCGACGACAUGCCAGACGAAGCGGCCGACCAACUGAUCUCAACCAUGGGCAAAUACGGCCUCUGCCUCGGCCUCAUGGACCCCGUCACCAACAUCAUCCUCAACACCAUCGCCCACCUCCCGCGGGACUUCCGGGCAAACCCGUCGCCUCCGCACGACGCUAAGAGGAGGAGGAGGUCCAAGAUGAUGGCUGGCGCAGCACAGCCCAGGGAUAGUUGGUCCAGUACCAUUGGGCCAACCUCCCGUAGGGAUACCUGGCCCAGAGAUGCCGCGCCAUCCUACCUGGCUCUCCGCAGAUUCAUGGUCAGAUACUUCGGAUGCCUCAGUGAAGAACAGGCCACCCGGUACCUCCACUGGGCGGGCGCCGACCUCGCCCUGGCCGUUCUGCUCGUCGAGCACGAUCUUUACGCUGCUGAGCUUGAGCUCCCCGACCCCGCCUCCAAAAGGACACAAGCUGCCCUCAUGUGCGCUGCAACCUGUGCGUCGCACCCAGCGCCCGACGCCCUGGUGCGGCUCCACACGACGCCCCUUCCCCUACAGAGGCUCCUCGCCACCGCCGUGUUCCUCAGGCCAGGAGGGCCCAAGCUCACCGUCGACGACGUCGACACCCUCGUGGACCUACUGCGGUACCACAACAGCGCCCCCCUCGACCUCCAGGUGAAGUUGCUACCAGGGGGGAGAGAGGUCGUCGUGUAUUGUCGGAACCUCAAGCCCGGUGAAGGGAAGCUUGAGAUUUGCAAUAGCAUGAGCUCCGUGGAUGGAUUUGAUGUUGUCAGCAUCAAGGUCGAGCGUCAUGGGGACCUCUUUGCGUCCCUACGGUCUGAUCCUCAAGACAAGAGGUCCAUGAUAUCAACCUUUUUAGCGAAGGCCGCGAGAACCGCUCGAAGUCGCGGUUUGGUAGAGAGCUGCAGUGGCGAUGCAUGUGAGUACACCGAGUCUCUCAGAAUGAGGCUUCACAGUGCAAUCCACGCUUUCUAUCUCAAAGUGUUCACCAUGUUACCGCCCUCUACAGGGCUCAUCCGCGACAUAUUGUGGGCUGGCCACUGCUAUGGCCACAUGGAUCCUGUCUCCAACAUCAUUGUCAACUCUAUUUGGCACAAAAUAGUGUACCCGCUACCCCUGUCCGAAAUCAAAGAGUAUCACAUCAUCGACACCCUAUCUAUGCUUCGCGUGGAGGUUCGUUCCUUGGAAGGCCUCAUCACCCUCGUCCAAGGAAACUUUGAGUCUGGCUGCUCGACGCAGCAGGUGAUGGAGCACCUCUCCCACAAAUGUUGUGACAUAUCCCAUGAGAUGCACACCUUGCAGCAGUUUGUUGCCGCAGCCACAACCGCUCGACACCCACAAUACGCUGCACUAGGGUCAUUCCUCGCAUCCCUGACCCCCGAUAUGUUGAAUGACCUACGACGCUUGCUGACCACUGGCACCAAUGGUGUGAUCCCUCGUGAGUCGCUUGGUCAAAUAGAGUACUUCCUCCGACAAAAAGUAAUGGCGUUGGAUCCCGAACCUCCCAAGGUGGCCGAAUUAUGCGAGGAGGCUAAGGGAACUCUGCUGAGAAUGAAGUCAUAUUAUAACAGAAUGAGAUUACACUUUUGCUCUAGGCUUGAACAACUGCUGCAGAAAUAUGCCUCUGAGCAUCCUUUGGAACCACAAUAUGUGCUAAGUGUUAUCUGUGGUGUGGUGGCUGGUUCUGAAUCCUUAGACAGGGAGUGCUAUCACGUUAAUUUUGUGGCUGCUUCCAAAUCAGGGAUUGCUCGUAACCAACUCUUCUUCGCCGAACUCAAUUGUUCGUAUCCUGGUGAGCAGGAAAAAACAAAUUUCUGCCGUCCUCUACCCCUGAUAUAUACUGGCCGUUGCUACUAUGGAAAGGGAACCGCAAGGAAGAUUGUGUAUCCAGAUUCAGCAGACUUUAUUAAGAGUAAUCAUGAUAUUACCCACUAUGGAACGCGGCACACGGACGGAAUUCUGGACGCGGAUUUAAUGUUCGAUUUUAGGAGCGACACGCAGUUUGCAGAAGAUAUGAGGAAGUACUGUGAGCGUCAAAAAGAG